AUGACGGAUAUUUACAUAAAGCUUUCACUUGUGAUGGAGAAAUGUUCAUUGUGGAAGAGCUACAGCUGUUUCUGUCCCCUGAGACUGUGCCAUUUCUCCAGCUGUCUUGUAAAAAGGUAGAACUUCUAUCCCUGCAUAUGGAAAGUGACUGCUGUAAUAGCUUGCCUCAGGCCUUGCUCUUCUGCGUUGUUCUGACUUUUAAAUAGUCUGUAAAUGCUUCAUAAUUCUACUUCUAUCACAUAUUCAUUAAUAUCAGAAGCACAGUACAUCUUCUUAUCUGUAGAAUUUUGUGUGUGUCAAAAAAUAACUGAAACAAGCCUUUAUGAUCAUUAAAAAAAUAAGGAAGGAGCUCUGACAUUUUACAUGCUGUUUACAAAGCUGUUUUUUUUCUGAUUUGUAUUGCCAUUUAUUCUUAUAAGCUUUUUAGUUAAUGAUUUUUUUUAAUAAAUACCAAAAAUAUUAUAAUUCAUGUUAGCAAAUAGGAGCUUAAGAUCUCACUGACAUUGUAAAACAAGAACUCCCUCCUGUGUUUCUAGGGAAUGCUCUAUGUAGGAUCCAGCUGCCAGCUCCUGUAUGCCACCGAUACAAGCACUGCUUGGAUUGCAUCUUGGCAAGAGGUCCUUACUGUGCAUGGUCUGAGUCUCCUAAUGAAGGUGUUCUACUGGCAAAUCAAACUGGUGAUACAAAAUAAAGAGCUGUUGUUUCACCUGCACACCUGAUGUCAGAUUGCUUUAUAAGUGCACUCUUGCUGUCUGCAACACAAACUCAGGAUGAUUCCUAGAAAUGGCAUCGCACAAGCUGAAACACUUCUUUUCUGUGUUUUUGUUUUUUUUUUUUUUUUUUUUUCUGUGUGUGUGUGUGUCUGUUUGGUUUUUAUUUUUGCGUUCCCCCUGGAAUUUAAUUCAAAGUGUGAAAUACGGGGAUGCUUCCAGCUGCCUUAACAUAGAAUAUAAAGUGAGAAAAUUGGUCUUUCCCCCUGAGAACAAUGUUCAUCUUAAAUGUGUUCCUCUGUUGAAUCUGGCAAGAGUGGUGUGGAAGUUUAAUGGGAGCAGACUUCAAGAGAAGGACUCUAAACACCUCCUCUGUGAUGGAGGAAUACCAAAAUUUAGUGUGAUAAUGGAUGAGGCUGGAUUCUCUGGUUGUCUCUCAGUAGAGAAAUCCAAAGGGAAGGAAUUCCUUAUCACUGGGGCAUGCUGUGCCCUUUAUGUCCAUCAAAAUACAGAGAAGGCAAAUAUUAAUGCCGCAACAAAUAAGUACAACAAAGCAGGAGCUGAGGGUUUUAAGUCUUUAGUCCCAGCUUCUUUUCUGAAAGAGGCAACAAAACAGAAAGCUGUGGACAGCCGAAAAGAGAAGGUUGUUUUAAAAGUCCUGGGGGCUGGUUUUGCACUUCUUAUUUGUUUGGAAUUUCUACAAGGGUCAUUUAUCUCUGCCUUGGAAGAUCAGAGAAACCAGUUCAAAACCACCAAUGCAGGUUGUUUGGGAAGUCCAGCAUUGGCUACAGAGGGAUCAGGCAGCAAAAAGGAGAGUUCAGCCACACAAAUGGACACGUCUUUUGUUAAUGAAUAAACGCUUGUGAGCUUUUCUUAAGGAGUGCAGCCCCAAUGCACGGCACGGUGCAGGUUUUACGGAGAGCUUGCAGUUCCCUGAGAUGUUUGGUUAAGAUGAUGUUUCCUGUUAAGGACUGUGGAAUGUAAAUUUGGGCAGGAGUCAGAAGCUCGGAGUUGGAGAUGACAAGCUGCAUUGUGUAUUACACAGAUGCGUUACCACGUAGUGCUUAAAAGCAAAAUUCCUUCUUUGGGUACCUUUUUGACACAUUAAAACCACAAGAAUAAAUUUCUUUCAAAAAUUGACGCUGAUCUACUUUUUUGUAAUGUUGGAGUUGCCCAAUUACAUAAAUUAAUACUUCAGAAGCUAAUAAUACUUAGUAUUUAGCGCUUUUCACCUUCAGACUUUGUGUUUAAUCUACGAAUAGCAACUAAUUAAGUCUCCCAAUGCCCCAAGAGGUUGCUACUACCCUCAUUUUUCAUGAGGUUAAAUUACUUGUCACUGACCAUAGUAUUCAUGUCAGAUCUAAUGCUUUGUUAGAAGUUCCUGAGUCAUCUUCCUAUAUUUUUUCUUUCUCUAUUUUCCUCUCUUUUCCCUUUAUUUAACCUUUCAAAAGGCUUUCCAUACAUUUAUUUUUCUAAUGUGUUCUUAGUGACCUUUGUGAUGCAUCUUUCCCUGUCCGAAAAUGCCAUGAGCUGACUUAUGUACUGCAUCAUUGUUCUGGAUUUAUUUCUGAGGUUUGGUCAAAACUCAGACACUGUAGCUCCUUUUAUUAAAGGCCACUGAAAGUUGAGCAUUUUUUC
ensembl:lncRNA